rnacentral:rRNA from 1 species
CCUACGGGUGGCAGCAGUAGGGAAUCUUCCACAAUGGGCGCAAGCCGGAUGGAGCAACACCGCGUGAGUGAAGAAGGGUUUCGGCGCGUAAAGCUCUGUUGUUGGAGAAGAACGUUCGUGAGAGUAACUGUUCACGCAGUGACGGUAUCCAACCAGAAAGGCACGGCCAACUACGUGCCAGCAGCCGCGGUAAGACGUAGGUGGCAAGCGUUAUCCGGAUUUAUUGGGCGGAAAGGGAGCGCAGGCGUUAGGUGAGGUCUGAUGUGAAAGCCUUCGGCUUAACCGGAGAAUUGCAUCGGAAACCGGGAGACUUGAGUGCAGGAGAGGGCAGUGGAACUCCAUGUGUAGCGGUGAAAUGCGUAGAUAUGUGGAAGAACACCAGUGGCGAAGGCAGCUGUCUGGACUGCAACUGACGCUGAGGCUCGAAAGCGUGGGUAGCGAACAGGAUUAGAUACCCUUGUAGUC